CGCCUGUUUAUCAAAAACAUGUCUUUUUGUUAAUUAUUUAAGGUUUGGCCUGCUCCAUGAUUAAUUUAAAUAGCCGCAGUAUUUUGACUGUGCAAAGGUAGCAUAAUCAUUAGUUUUUUAAUUGAAAGCUGGAAUGAAGGGUCGGAUGAGAAAAUAGCUGUCUCACUUUAAUUUAAUUUGAAUUUUAUUUUUAAGUUAAAAAGCUUAAAUUUUAUAAGAAGACGAGAAGACCCUAUAGAGUUUUAUAGAUUUAAUUUUAUUUAUUUUGGAUUUUAUCAUAAUAAUAUGAAUUUCUAUUUUGUUGGGGUGACGCGAGGAUUGAAUAAACUUCUUGUUAUUAAAACACUGAUUAGUGAUUAAUUGAUCCUGAUAUUUUGGAUUAUAAGAAUAAAUUACCUUAGGGAUAACAGCGUAAUUUUUUUGGAGAGUUCUUAUCAAUAAAGAAGAUUGCGACCUCGAUGUUGGAUUAAAGUUAAGUUUCGGUGCAGAAGCUGGAAUUUUA
rnacentral:rRNA from 1 species